CUUGGCCAUAACACCCUGAAUGCGCCCAAUCUCGUUUGAUCCCAGAAGCUAAGCAGGGUUCAGCCUGUUCAGAACUUGGAUGGGAGAAGAAAAAGUCAGAAGCGGUGUGGGCUUUGGAGGUAGGCCAAGC
rnacentral:rRNA from 1 species